rfam:Salmo salar isolate Sally breed double haploid chromosome ssa10, whole genome shotgun sequence.
CCCUGUGGCUCAGUUGGUAGAGCAUGGUGUUUGCAACGCCAGGGUUGUGGGUUCGAUUCCCACGAGGG